GCUCCUACGGGAGGCAGCAGCCGCGGUAAUACGCAGGGGGCGAGCGUUGUCCGGAAUCACUGGGCGUAAAGGGCGCGUAGGCGGUAAUAUAAGUCAGAUGUGAAAGGUGGGGGCUCAACCCCUAGAGUGCAACUGAUACUGUAUAACUUGAGUGUGAGAGAGGGAAGCGGAAUUCCUAGUGUAGCGGUGAAAUGCGUAGAUAUUAGGAGGAACACCAGUGGCGAAGGCGGCUUUCUGGCUCAUAACUGACGCUGAGGCGCGAAAGCGUGGGGAGCAAACAGGAUUAGAUACCCUAGUAGUCCGAG
rnacentral:rRNA from 1 species